CAAGGUCUUGGUCUUAAACCUCCUAUUGUUUUAACCCUCUGCUUAUACAUGCAAGACUCAUCACAACAGUGAAAUAGCCCCCCCCACACACCAUUAGAGCAGGUAUCAGGCCAACACGCCCACGACACCAAGCAACCAGCCACGCCCCCACGGGCCCGCAGCAGUAGUUAAUAUUGGGCUAUAAGCGUAAGCUUGACCCAGUAAGAGAGUUACCAGGGCCGGUUAAUCUCGUGCCAGCGACCGCGGUUACACGACAGACCCAAGACAAUACCACCGGCGUAAAGCACGACUAAAACAGAUAUGUUACCACACUAGGGAUAAAGCAAAACUGGGCUGUAAAAAGCCAUAAGCCACACUAAAAACUAAGCCCUAACAUAAAACAUCUUCGACUCGUGAAAGCAAGGACACAAACUAAGAUUAGAUACCUUACUAUGCCCAGCCUUAACAAAACAAUCAAAUAACGAAUUGUUCGCCAAAUAACUACGAGUUAAAACUUAAAAUUUAAAAGACUUGACGGUACUUCACACCAACCUAGAGGAGCCUGUCUAUUAACCGAUAAUCCACGAUUAACCCAACCCUUUCUAGCCCAACAGUCUAUAUACCGCCGUCGCCAGCUUACCUUGUGAAAGAAACAAAGUAAGCCCAAUAACAUCACAUUAAUACGACAGGUCGAGGUGUAACCAAUGAAAGGGGCCAAGAUGGGCUACAUUUUCUAAUCCAGAAAAGCCUACAACGAAUAAACUAUGAAACUAGAAACUGAAGGCGGAUUUAGCAGUAAGCUAAGAAUAGAAUACUUAACCGAAAUUAACGCAAUGAAGUGCGCACACACCGCCCGUCAUCCCUGUAAGACACAUAAACUAUUCAUAAUAUCUUAUCUUCUCCAAAGCAGGGCAAGUCGUAACAUGGUAAGCGUACUGGAAAGUGUGCUUAGAAA
rnacentral:ncRNA from 1 species